CAUGACCCAGAAAUCAUGUGCCUUGUCAGUGGCAGUGAGUUUCUGAAUUCUUACCCAUUCCUCCACGGCCAAGCGACAGCCAAUCAGAUAUCUCUACAGAUGGAUAUUCCCGUGGUAGUUAUAAAUCAUUUAAAAACAAACUUGAAAGAAACGUUAAAGAAAACAGGGAGGUUGUUGUUGAAGAGAGAAGUCAAUCAGAUCAAGAAAAGCAUAAUGAAGAAACUUUAGAGCGUUUAGGAAAUGGUGAGACGCGUAAGAGGAAUGGAAACGAAAGUAGAAAAAACGUCGGUUCAUUUAAUAAAGAGACGAGCAGCUCAUCGUGGACUCAUAACGACAGCGGUUUUAGAAAGAAACAUCAUGUGCCAAUAAAUGGUGUUCAAGUCCUACCACCGGAACAAGUUUUUAUUCAGUUUGAAAGUAGCGAUGAGGAGAAAGAAAAUUGAAGUUGAAUGUUUUAUUAACAAGCUAUUUUAGACUUAUAAAUAGUUCACUUUAUAUGGUGAAUUUACUAUCUAUGUAAUAACUUUCUAUUUAUUUUUCAUACAUUUGAAGGACAUUUAAA